rnacentral:lncRNA from 1 species
AGAUUAAAAGGAGCCCAAGCCCCAUCUCAUCCUAGCAUACCAUACUCCACUGUCCUGGCAGUAGCAAGUCCCUGCACUAGGUCAGACAAUCCCCUUUGGGGUACAGGAAACAAAGCAGGAGGAGUUUGAGGUCCCUACACUGCAGCAGAAGAAGAGGAAGGAGUGGGGCCUGAAUUGACCAUAAAGGAUGUAGGGGCCACGUUGUUCCACUGUAAUGUCAAGGAGGGGGUGGCCAUUGUUUGUCCCAGCCUGGGGCUCCCCCUCUGGUUUCCUAUUUGUAGUUACUAGAAU